AUGGGGAAAGGAACAGAAGUUGUGGCAGACAAUCAUAGAAAUGAAGAAAAGACAGAAAGAACAGGGAACGAGAAAGAGGUGAAUGUAUUUGUUCAGAAAUUAGGCCAACACCCUUCCUCGGCCGCCUGCUCCUCGGCCUCAUCGCUCGGCCUCUGCCUGGCCUAUCGCCUGCCGCUGGCUUCCGACGGGCUGGACCUGAGCCAGGCGGCGGCGUGCACCGAUGACUACAAGAUCAUCCGCACCAACGAGAAGGAGCAGCUGCAGGCCCUCAACGACCGCUUAGCCGUGUUCAUCAAGAAGGUGCAUCACCUGGAGACGCAAAACCGCGCGCUGAAGGCAGAGGUUGCCGCGCUGCGACAGCGCCACGCCCAGCCGUCGUGCGUCGGCGAGCUCUUCCAGCGCGAGCUGCGCGACCUGCGCGCGCAGCUGGAGGAGGACAGCUCGGCGCGUGCGCAGGCCGUGCUGGAGCGCGACGGGCUGGCUGAAGAGGUGCAGCUGGUGCGGACGCUAAGGCGCCGAGGGUGCUCUGAAGGCGCAGCAGCGCGACAUGGACGGCGCCACGCUGGCCCGCCUAGACCUGGAAAAGAAGCUGGAGUCGCUGCUGAACGAGCUGGCCUUCGUGCGCCAGGUGCACGACGAGGAGGUAGCUGAGCUGCUGGCCACGCUUCAGGCGUCGUCGCAGGCUGCGGCCGAGGUGGAUGUGACUGUGGCUAAACCAGAUCUGACCUCGGCGCUGAGGGAGAUCCGCGCCCAGUAUGAGUCCCUAGCCGCUAAGAACCUGCAGUCCGCAGAAGAAUGGUACAAGUCCAAGUUCGCCAACCUGAACGCGCAGGCGGCGCGCAGCACAGAGGCCAUCCGGACGAGCGGCGAGGAGAUCCAUGAACACCGGCGCCAGCUGCAGGCGCGCACCAGCGACAUCGAGGGCCUGCGCGGGGCCAACGAGUCCUUGGAGAGGCAGAUCCUGGAGCUGGAGGAGCAGCACAGUGCCGGGGUGGCUGGCUACCAGGGUAGCAUUGGGCAGCUGGAGAAUGAUCUGAGGAACACCAAGAGUGAGAUGGCACUCCACAUUCGGGAAUACCAGGACUUGCUCAAUGUCAAAAAUGGCUCUUGACAUUGAGAUAGCAGCUUACAGGAAACUGCUGGAAGGUGAGGAGACACGUUUUAGCACCAGUGGGUUAGGCAUUUCGGAGCUGAAUCCACUUCCCAAUCCAAGUUAUCCGCUCCCACCUAGAAUCCUCAGUUCUACAACCUCCAAGUCUCAUCCACUGGGCUAUCACUUAAGAAAGAGGAGGAGGAGGCAUCUAAGGUAGCUUCUAAGAAAACUUCCCAGAUAGAGGAAAGUUUUGAAGAAAUAUUAGAGGAGACAGUGAUACCUACUAAGAAAACCGAGAAAUCAAAUAUAGAAGAAACCACCCUUUCAAGCCAAAAAAUAUAG